rnacentral:snRNA from 1 species
GUGCUUGUUUCAGCAGCAUAUAUAAAAUUGGAACAAUAUAAAGAAGAUUAGUAUGGCCCUUGAGCAAGGAUGACAUGCAAAUUCAUCAAGUAUUCCACAUUUAA